rnacentral:rRNA from 1 species
ACGAACGCUGGCGGCGUGCCUCAUACAUGCAAGUCGAGCGGAUGUAGUAAUACAUCAGCGGCGGACGGGUGAGUAACACGUGGGCAACCUGGCCUUAAGAGGGGGAUAACGUCCCGAAAGGGACGCUAAUACCGCGUAAAUCAACGAAAUCGCAUGAUUUUGUUGGAAAAGGAGAAAUCCGCUUAAGGAUGGGCCCGCGGCCUAUUAGCUAGUUGGUAGGGUAACGGCCUACCAAGGCGACGAUAGGUAGCCGACCUGAGAGGGUGAACGGCCACACUGGAACUGAGAAACGGUCCAGACUCCUACGGGAGGCAGCAGUAGGGAAUAUUCCGCAAUGGGCGAAAGCCUGACGGAGCAACGCCGCGUGAGUGAAGAAGGUUUUCGGAUCGUAAAGCUCUGUCAACAGGGACGAAACAAGACGGUACCUGAGAAGGAAGCCACGGCAAACUACGUGCCAGCAGCCGCGGUAAUACGUAGGUGGCAAGCGUUGUCCGGAAUAACUGGGCGUAAAGCGCAUGUAGACGGCAUGAUAAGCCAAAUGUGAAAUGUAGGGGCUCAACCCCUGCACUGCGAUUGGAACUGUCAUGCUUGAGUGCAGGAGAGGCAAAUGGAAUUCCCAGUGUAGCAGUGAAAUGCGUAGAGAUUGGGAGGAACACCAGUGGCGAAGGCGAUUUGCUGGACUGCAACUGACGUUGAGAUGCGAAAGCCAGGGGAGCAAACGGGAUUAGAUACCCCGGUAGUCCUGGCCGUAAACGAUGGAUACUAGGUGUAGAGGGUAUCGACCCCUUCUGUGCCGCAGCGAACGCAAUAAGUAUCCCGCCUGGGGAGUACGGUCGCAAGACUGAAACUCAAAGGAAUUGACGGGGGCCCGCACAAGCAGUGGAGCAUGUGGUUUAAUUCGACGCAACCCGAAGAACCUUACCAGGUCUUGACAUUUAUGGAACUUAGCAGAGAUGCUUCGGUGCCCUUUCGGGGGAGCCAUAAAACAGGUGGUGCAUGGUUGUCGUCAGCUCGUGUCGUGAGAUGUUGGGUUAAGUCCCGCAACGAGCGCAACCCUUGAUAAUAGUUGCCAGCAAGUAGUGUUGGGCACUCUAUUGUGACUGCCGUAGAUAAUACGGAGGAAGGUGGGGAUGACGUCAAAUCAUCAUGCCCUAUAUGACCUGGGCUACACACGUGCUACAAUGGGGUGGAACAACGGGAAGCAAGCCAGCGAUGGUAAGCGGACCCCUAAAAACACCUCUCAGUUCAGAUUGCAGGCUGCAACCCGCCUGCAUGAAGUCGGAAUUGCUAGUAAUCGCGGAUCAGCAUGCCGCGGUGAAUACGUUCCCGGGCCUUGUACACACCGCCCGUCACACCACGAAAGUUGGCAACACCCGAAGUCGGUGAGGUAACCUGCAAAGGAACCAGCCGCCGAAGGUGGGGUCAGUAAUUGGGGUGA